UACGUAGGGUGCGAGCGUUAAUCGGAAUUACUGGGCGUAAAGCGUGCGCAGGCGGUUCGUCGUGUCCGAUGUGAAAGCCCCGGGCUCAACCUGGGAAUUGCGCUUGAAACUAGCGAGCUUGAGUGUGGCAGAGGGGGGUGGAAUUCCACGUGUAGCAGUGAAAUGCGUAGAGAUGUGGAGGAACACCGAUGGCGAAGGCAGCCCCCUGGGUCAACACUGACGCUCAUGCACGAAAGCGUGGGGAGCAAACAGG
rnacentral:rRNA from 1 species